rnacentral:rRNA from 1 species
CCUACGGGUGGCAGCAGUGAGGAAUAUUGGUCAAUGGCCGGAAGGCUGAACCAGCCAUGCCGCGUGAAGGUCAGUGCCCUAUGGGCGUUAAACUUCUUUUGUGCGGGAGCAAUAAUGGUCACGUGUGGCCAGACGAGAGUACCGUACGAAUAAGCAUCGGCUAACUCCGUGCCAGCAGCCGCGGUAAUACGGGGGAUGCAAGCGUAAUCCGGAUUUAUUGGGUUUAAAGGGUGCGUAGGCGGUGCGGUAAGUCAGCGGUGAAAUGCCCCCGCUCAACGGGGUGAAGUGCCAUUGAUACUGCCUGGCUGGAAUGCGGAUGCCGUGGGAGGAAUGUGUGGUGUAGCGGUGAAAUGCAUAGAUAUCACACAGAACACCGAUUGCGAAGGCAUCUCACGAAUCCGCGAUUGACGCUGAUGCACGAAAGCGUGGGUAUCAAACAGGAUUAGAUACCCGGGUAGUC